rnacentral:lncRNA from 1 species
ACAGAUAUUCCAAAAAAGAAGAUAUAAAUAUGACUAUAAAAGACAUGAAAAGAUGUUUAACCCUGUUAGUCAUCAUGGAAAUGCAAAUUAAAACCACCAUACAGACACUAGAGUGGUUUAAAUUUGAAUGACUUCCAACACCAAAUGCCAGACAGGACGUAGAGCAACUGGAUGUCUCAUGCUCACUGGCAGAAGGGAAAACUACUGUGUGUGACAGGAAGAUGGACUUACCCAACCUUCAGCAUUCUCAAUCUCUUGUCUAUUAACAUAUGUUUGAAACGUGCAUUCAAAGCAAACAUCUAGGAGGAAGAUGGGAAAAGCAUUCUUGCCCCUGUUCUACAGAAGUAAUUGAAGUUCAUGACAUUCAAGCUCAUUCAUCAGUAAAUGAAUUUGGGUCAUGCUUU